rnacentral:rRNA from 1 species
GAUGAACGCUGGCGGCGUGCCUAAUACAUGCAAGUCGAGCGAACGGACGAGGAGCUUGCUUCUCUGAUGUUAGCGGCGGACGGGUGAGUAGCACGUGGAUAACCUACCUAUAAGACUGGGAUAACUUCGGGAAACCGGAGCUAAUACCGGAUAAUAUUUUGAACCGCAUGGUUCAAAAGUGAAAGACGGUCUUGCUGUCACUUAUAGAUGGAUCCGCGCUGCAUUAGCGAGUUGGUAAGGUAACGGCUUACCAAGGCAACGAUGCAUAGCCGACCUGAGAGGGUGAUCGGCCACACUGGAACUGAGACACGGUCCAGACUCCUACGGGAGGCAGCAGUAGGGAAUCUUCCGCAAUGGGCGAAAGCCUGACGGAGCAACGCCGCGUGAGUGAUGAAGGUCUUCGGAUCGUAAAACUCUGUUAUUAGGGAAGAACAUAUGUGUAAGUAACUGUGCACAUCUUGACGGUACCUAAUCAGAAAGCCACGGCUAACUACGUG